rnacentral:rRNA from 1 species
GGAUGCGAUCAUACCAGCACUAAAGCACCAGAUUCCAUCAGAACUCCGAAGUUAAGCGUGCUUGGGCGAGAGUAGUACUAGGAUGGGUGACCUCCUGGGAAGUCCUCGUGUUGCAUUCC